CGUGGGCGAGAAGAUCAGGAGAGAUGGGGAGAGAGACGUUUGCAGCGGAACGGUGUGGUCAUCUCACACAGUAACUUGGCCUUUUAUACAGACUUCUUAACACUCUUCCUCUGCUUACAAAACAAAGAAACAGAGACCGCAGAGCCUUAGCUGCUGGGGAAGCAAAAACCAGAGCUCCCUCUUCUGGGCAAACGAAAUUCUGAACAGCUUGGGGCCGCUUUCGAAAAAGGGCAGCCCACACCAGUGAGGAGGAGUCCUGUCUUCACCGGGUGACUCAUCUCGCCUCUGGAUCGACAGAAAGCCAAAAGCCUCCUGGAGGAGCAUCUUUCCUUCUCCUGCCAGCCGGACGGCUCAGUGCUCCCGGCCCAGCGAUUGAGUGGGAGUGUGAGAUUGGGGACCCAUCUCCCCGACUCCUCAAGUGGCUAUUGAUGCCCUCUCAGCUGUGAAGACAACCCGAGGCCAGGACCAAACCAGAAUCCUACAAGGAUGAAUCCGGACCCUAAGUUGAACAUGUAGUUGAACUCGAUGACAAGGUUUUAAAACAGACCCAACUCAAACACUUCUCCAAAUAGUUCUGCUCAAUGUAAUUUCAAACAAGGUAUUUGAACGGCAUAUUAAA